AAGAAACAUAAUGGAUCAAUAAAUGUUCCUUAACGUAUGUAAAUAUUACAAUUCUCUUGAUUUCUGACAUUUUCAAGUUAUCGUAAUGCGCGUUGACGGCAUCGUGCGUAUUUUCCUAGAAAUCGAAGAAUCUCAAACGCACUUUGUUCCGCUGAUGUGAAUUAAUGAUUUUUGUGAGUGUCAAAUUAGCAUUUCUUCACAUGUCGCGUCUGUGAUGUAAGGUUAAGAUUUACGUCAUCGAUCGACACUACGUGAAAAUGUCUUGAGGUGUAUGUGAUUUUUCGUAACAUUCACCCUUUUUUCCCACCAUAUCGAACGAGCCUGUUUACAUCGCACUGAAGAAGAGGUUAGCUUCGCACAUGGAGAUACGUUUCUAUGGAAUAGAAUGAGAUUCACAAGUAAUAACACUACACUGGAAUAGAACUAUGUGUAAAUAUGAAAUAAUGGCAGUGCGUAACUAAGAACAAUUAUCGCGAGACUACAUAAAUUACCAUAUAAACAAUUGACGUCAGGACGUUAAAGUUAAUUCACAAAUGAAUCAUAAUAUCGCAGAAUGAAGUCACUCUCGUCCUGUGCAUAGGGAAUGGUAAUGGUUCACAAUUUUUUUUGCGAUACACCGAGCAAGCUACAUUUAGCAAAAUAAAUAGAAUUUGCAAUCACAAACCUGUACGAAGAAUAAAAACUUAUAUCGGGUGUGACUUUGGAGAUGUGAAAAAGAAUUAAUUGAAAAAUGAGAUACCCGUCGGAGCACCUUUCGAAAUGUUUAAAGGUACGAUUUCGCGUAAUGGCGCGCGCGCGGGCGCUCAUUAACGCUCGCGAUUGCGUAUUCGCUUUUGCAAUAUUCCAGGCAGCCGAGUAACUGCAAUUUACAUUUUUUUUUCGCGUACUUUGACUGCCUUAAGUACAGGCCAACGCAAACGACCUGUUCUCAACAGCAACAAUUAGCAGAAACUCAACAAAUAUCAACAGCAACAGGUUUUUUAUUAAAAGUAAUAUGUGUAAGUAUUCCUCUACGAGACAGGAAUCUCUCAAAACGUUAGUUAAUAUAUAAACAUUAAACUUGGUGUUUAGGUAUUAUUUAUUUCAUAAUGAGCAUUUAAAAUUCGUGAUUAGAAACUAUUUUCCUGACAUCCAACCGUUGGACCAACCGGUUGCUGUAUCGUGUGUGGCACAAAGAGGCAAUGUCAAGGUCGCGUAUAUAGCGUGGUAAACAUGUUUCAAGGUACAUUAACAUAAGGUUAAAAGAAUCAUAAUUCCUAUUUUGAUUAUUGGCCACUUUCCGUUGUGGAGGAUAAAGGUAAAAUGACACUACUCAAGGCUAACAAGAAUAAAUUCUAUACCUUCGCAAACGAAAAAUAAUAUAUUAUAAUGUAUUGCCUCUGAUUGUCAAGAUUGUAUUACUAACCCGUAUCAAUCGCUAGAAAAUAAAUAUUCCAACAAACUUAAAUUGACGUAUUACGACAGCACUGCCACUCGAGACGAUAUCUUGGUGUUUGAGUUUUCUUGAAAUUUCGUAAUGGCACGAUAGCUGAAUGAUGGACAGGACUAUUUCGAAUGCAGUUAUCGAGCACAAUGUAAUCUCAAGGUGCAUAUUUAGCGUCACGCAUACGGAAAAUAAUGAGAGGUAGCUAAACCUAUGCGCUCCGACAAGUCUUGCUUGCAACAUUCCUAGCUUUCUACAAAACUGCCUUGUUAUAUACGGAACAGUUGAGUCGCCGUCCGCUUUUCCUUACUUACUUCCUUCCUUCCUUCCAUUCUUUCUUUCUUUCUUUCUUCUGUUUCAAUGCCGUGUCUAUAAGACGUUCGGUACCUAAGGCUUCGUAAUAUUUUUUCCGGGCGGAAGUGCCGUUUCGAUUGUGACUAUCUCAUGCGCAUUUUGCAGCACGAUGCGCCGGCGCUGCAUUAUUAGAAGAGAUUGCGGCUCCUUAUCGACGAAUAAGUACGAGUCGAUCGGCAGGAUGGUACGUCCUUGAAGCUGUUAAAGGACUCGGCUAUACAUAUAAUUAUUUUCAUGAAUAUUCUUGUGAAAUUCAGUAGCGAGGAGGUAUUUAAUAAUUGAGUAUAAUAUACGUAUAUACAUAUGUAUAUUCCUUAUAUGGGAUAUAGAUUCGUAUAUGUAUAUAUAUUAAAUCCAUGAAUUUUAAAUGUUACCGGGUAUCCUUAUAUUUUAAUACCCUUUAUUGCUACAACGCAAAGGAUGACAUCAUUGAUUUCCAUGAUAUACAGAUCCUGAAUCUCGAAUAAAUUUAAGAUAACCAGUAAAUUGCCUGAUGAAAGUCUUUUUCUUCCUGGAUUGCGAAAUAUCUUUGGAUUACUGUAUUAUAUGGUGUUGUCGACGCGAAAUCAGGGUGUAAUGGAAUAUUUUCUUAUAAACAGUGGAAACGUUUUUGAUACGCUGAAAGACUGCGUAAAGUCAACGAGUGCCGCUUAUACGUUAGACAGAAUGAGAUAGUGACGAAUGAAGUGGAACGAAAAUCUAGCAAUUCGUGAGACAACUAAAUCUAACAGCGUGGAAGUAAAAGCGUGAGAAUUUGUAUUAAAUAAAUAAUCCUAAAAAAUGUUAUCAAGUUAUUAGUGCAAUAAUUAACGAUUUCAAUUAUAACAAUGCCAGCUCGACCUCCGUACAGGGAAACAACAGUUUCACAUUGACUCGAGGUACAAACGAGAUAUUUACCACGACACGUGCAACCCAUUUUGAAAAUUAAUUGGACAAAUUAUCGAUACUGUUCUUGGGACGAUCAAUGUGGAUCGGAACGUUUAACUUUGUCAAAUGAAAGCCCUGAUCACGAUCGAUCGAUUACGAUUACUUGGAACUCUCUUUACAUAACGCAUUCGCGUGUCCAACCGCUUCUACUGUAAUCGAGAGAAAUUCAAAGAAAUUGUGGCCAGUGUUGCCAACCGUCCAUAACUUGGCAACUGCGAGGACGAUAUGAUACCAUGGAAGGGACAACUGCAAUUUAAACUCUAUCUUUAUUGGCUCUACCAGGCAUUAUGAGUUUAUGACUAAUACAAAAGUUCUUUUUUUUUUAUGCAAGCAGCCAUGACCUACGUCAUUGAAUCUAUAAUUAAUAAAAUGAAAAAUUUUCUUUUUUCAGUAUACGGUAUGGGUUAUAUAAAUAAAAAAAUAUUUAGACAAUGAUUCGUUGUCUGAUUAUACAAAAUUGCUAUAGCAUCGUGAUUGAGAACCACUGAUAAGGUCCAGCUACACUUUUGCAGUGAUAUUCAAAUGAGUCCGGUAAUCGUGAAAGUGGGGAAAGUGAAAAUUCACGAUCUCGUCAUAACUACAUGGGUGAGGAAAGAAUCCGUGACAACUGUCAAAAGUGACAACACGUGGCCGAUUAAAGAAACACGGGUUAUUGAUCAGACUUGAAAUAACCUAUUGUGUAGUAAGAGAUACAGAGUGAAAUUCAAAAUCAACAAUGGAAUUUCAAGAAUUUCAAUGGAUAAGAGUUUAAACAAAUUUUCACUAUUGAGAAAGUACGUGCAUUAUUCGCAACGCUCUAGACUCGUUAUCAGCAGAUUUAAUCGUAUAUGGUACAAAGCUAUACCGUAAAUAUGUACAAGUGUAAAUAUCCACAAGUUAUAAUCAAACUCAGGGCGUGAUAUUUGUUUGAAAAUUAUUUAUGAAUAUUUAUUGGUACGGAUCCACGUAAAGUUAAACAAAUUGCACAAAAUCCCAUAAUGAAUUAUUGAUUGGUAAUCGAUUUUCUUUAUAGCCAUUCGUUAAUGAAUCUUAACUUUUAAUACCGUCCAUUAGUAUUAUCAUGCUGUUUUACUGAUAUAAGCGCAUUCCAAUUCGAGUCACGUAAAUUACGUCAACGCAAUUCCGAGCUCUUCUUUAGUUCAUAUCAUCAGCCGAAUCAUGCAUGGCAAAUCAUUGACGAAACUUAAAAAAAAA